GACGAACGCUGGCGGCGUGCCUAAUACAUGCAAGUAGAACGCUGAAGCUUGGUGCUUGCACCGAGCGGAUGAGUUGCGAACGGGUGAGUAACGCGUAGGUAACCUGCCUGGUAGCGGGGGAUAACUAUUGGAAACGAUAGCUAAUACCGCAUGACAAUAGUUAUUGCAUGAUAACUGUUUAAAAGGGGCAAUUGCUCCACUACCAGAUGGACCUGCGUUGUAUUAGCUAGUUGGUGAGGUAACGGCUCACCAAGGCAACGAUACAUAGCCGACCUGAGAGGGUGAUCGGCCACACUGGGACUGAGACACGGCCCAGACUCCUACGGGAGGCAGCAGUAGGGAAUCUUCGGCAAUGGACGGAAGUCUGACCGAGCAACGCCGCGUGAGUGAAGAAGGUUUUCGGAUCGUAAAGCUCUGUUGUAAGAGAAGAACGAGUGUGAGAGU
rnacentral:rRNA from 1 species